UUGGAGGGCAAGUCUGGUGCCAGCAGCCACGGUAAUUCCAGCUCCAAUAGGUAUAUUAAAGUUGUUGCAGUUAAAAAGCUUGUAGUUGAAUUUCGGGGUUCUACCGUUGGUCGGGCAAUAGUCUGUACUGGCGUGUAGAAUUUCUACCUUCUGGGGAACCAUCAUGUUAUUUAUUUAGUGUGGUGGGAAACCAGGACCUUUACCUUGAAAAAAUUAGAGUGUUCAAAGCAGUCUUAUGUCUGAAUACAUUAGCAUGGAAUAAUAAAAUAGGACGGUGGUACUGUUUUGUUGGUUUCUGAAUCACCGUAAUGAUUAAUAGGGAUAGUUGGGGGCAUUAGUAUUCAAUUGUCAGAGGUGAAAUUCUUGGAUUUAUUGAAGACUAACUUCUGCGAAAGCAUUUGCCAAGGAUGUUUUCAUUAAUCAAGAACGAAAGUUAGGGGAUCGAAGACGAUCAGAUACCGUCGUAGUCUUAACCAUAAACUAUGCCGACUAGGGAUCGGACGAUGUUAAUUUUUCUUGACUCGUUCGGCGCCUUUACGGAACGGAA
rnacentral:rRNA from 1 species